UGUGGCUGCACCUGAGGACGGCGGGGUCCUGGAAGACAUCACAGCACACGGGGCACGUCAGGUCGUCCUCCAGGGAGCUGAGUCUGACGGCCAUCGCGGGCGGCUUCUGAUCCAGCUCUUAAUCACCGACCGCCCACAGCCCGUCUUCGGGGCUGACGGAGACCUCCCCCUUUCGGGCGACGGAUGCCCGGGCGACGCCCAGGGUCCAGUCGGUCUUGCCCCCCCCACCUGUACGUGCCCGCAGUGUUGUCCUGAGGUGAAGGCUCGGGGAGCCCAGCAGGCCCCCCGCGCUGCCGAAGCGCUCGCCGUUGUCGGGCAGGGGAAGGGACGCCUGGCCGUCGGCUCCUGUGACUUGUUACCGCCACUGCGACCUGCGAUGGCGCUGCGGCCUGUGAGAAAACUCACACCAGGGCCGGGAAACUGAGCUGCACUUUCACUCCACAUGCAGGCCCGGUCAUGCAGGUGCGGCAUCACCCUCCUUCCAGAACACAGAG